GAAACUCUCAAGAGACUUGUGGGGGAACUGAAGAAAUCUCCUGAAGAUGUUUUUGAUGCUCUGAAAAAUCAAAUUGUCGAUAUGGUCUUCACUGCUCACCCUACUCAAUCUAUCCGCAGAUCUUUGCUUCAAAAGCACGGAAGGAUUCGUAAUUGUUUAACCCAAUUAUACGCCAAAGAUAUCACUCCUGAUAAUAAGCAAGAACUUGAUGAGGCUCUACAGAGGGAGGAACAUCAAUUAUGAGUUGCACCACCCACCAUUGUCAUUAGAUUGAGAAGGGUUAGGUGGACAGAAGUUUGUAGCAGUCACAGAAGUCACUUUCGUAGACUAAAACUCAAGAUAAGUAAGAUGUGAAGUUAUGGGUCAAAGCAAUGCAAUUUUGUUCUGCAAAAUCAGUAAUUCUAAAAUCACAUAUUUUUUUACUUAUU